GUGAAAACGAAGGCUCUGAUCUCUCAGGACACUGGGAAAGGAGCCAGUCCUCUGAAGAGAACACUCUGGUCAGGUGGUGGAGGCCAGUGGGAAGCCAUCAGGCCUGCUUUCCAGGAGGGGUGAAGGGUUGGUGCACGGUGCAAGGUGAGAGUGAGGUUAAAGGUCAGAGAGGAGGGGCUGAGGAGGCCACCUCCCACCAGGAGCAGACAGCUGGUGGCUUGGGACUGGGGUGGAGCUGCGUGGGGGAUGGGAGGGGACUGAGCAUGGGGCUUCAUCUUCACUGCCCACUCCUCCCCUCUCCCUGGCUGUGCCUGCCUCCUGGGAUGGUAGGAUUCCAGCAGCUGGAGCCCCAGGUGCUGCUGCGGCUGAGGAAGGCAAUCCCCGUCAGCUGCCUUCUCCGUUCCAGGGUGGCUGUAGCCAGAAGCAGGACCAGACAAGGACAUGGCCUCUGCAUUAAAGCCCAGAUCCCAGGCAGGGUUGGAAAGGCUGGGCCUGGGAAGUGGGGAUGAUGAGAGGACCCAGACUGCCCCACACCCCAGCCCCCGGCCCCAGGGCCAGGAAGCCGCCUAUGUCUGCACAUGGGUCAGCUGGAUGUCGCCCCCCACUUCCAGUCUGUUGAUGGUGGGCAGGUUCCUCAGGCGAUGGUAGUAUUCAAACAGGUGCUGACCAUCCACGGCCACCUUGAGGCAGUGAGCUUCACACAAGAUCCACACCUGUGCAGAGAUCAUGCCGUUUGCACUACACUUGGGAAGUCCUCCACCCUCACUGCAGCCUCCUC
rnacentral:lncRNA from 10 species